GAUGAAGAACGUAGUGAAAUGCGAUACUUGGUGUGAAUUGCAGAAUCCCGUGAACCAUCGAGUCUUUGAACGCAAGUUGCGCCUCAAGCCAUUAGGUUGAGGGCACGUCUGCCUGGGCGUCACAUAUCGUUGCCUGAUGCCAGUUUCCUCGUGAUGGGUGACUGUGCAGGGCGAAUGAUGGCUUCCCGUGAGCAUUGUUGCCUCAUGGUUGGUUGAAAAUUGAGUCCUUGGUAGGGAGCGCCGUGAUAGAUGGUGGUUGAGUGACGAACGAGACCCAAUCAUGUGAGACCCCUACCGAAUUUGGCCUUCAUGACCCACAUGCGUCUUUGGAACGCUCAUGACGAGACCUCAGGUCAGGCGGGGCUACCCGCUGAGUUUAAGCAUAUCAAUAAGCGGAGA
rnacentral:misc_RNA from 1 species